UACGGAGGUGGCAAGCGUUGCUCGGAAUCACUGGGCGUAAAGGGCGCGUAGGCGGGGAGGUAAGUCGGGGGUGAAAUCCCUCGGCCCAACCGAGGAACUGCGCCCGAGACUGCUUCUCUUGAGUCCCGGAGAGGAAGAUGGAAUUCCCGGUGUAGCGGUGAAAUGUGUAGAGAUCGGGAGGAACACCGGUGGCGAAGGCGGUCUUCUGGACGGUGACUGACGCUGAGGCGCGAAAGCGUGGGGAGCA
rnacentral:rRNA from 1 species